GACGAACGCUGGCGGCGUGCCUAACACAUGCAAGUCGAACGGAAAGGCCCCCAUGUGGGGCACUUGAGUGGCGAACGGGUGGGUAACGCGAGAGUAACCUACCCUUCACUUUGGGCUAACUUCAGGACACUGGGGCUAAUACCGGAUAGGAGCUUCUGCUGCACGGUGGGGGUUGGGAAGUUUCGGCGGUUGGGGCUGGACUCGCGGCUGAUCAGCUUUUUGGUGGGGUAGUGGCACACCACGGCCUAGACGGGUAGCCGGCCUGAGAGCGUAGCCGGCGACAAUGGGACUGAGAGACGGCCCAGACGCCUACGGGAGGCAGUAGGGGGGAGCCUUGCACAAUGAGCGGAAGCCGGUUACAGCGGCGCCGCGUGCGGGAUGCCGGCUUUCGGGUUGAGAACCGCUUUCGCCUGAGACGAAGCGGGAGUGACGGUAAUGGGUAAAGAAGCACCGGCUAACUACGUG
rnacentral:rRNA from 1 species